AAAUCUUAGGGGAUCUAAUUUCAAAUUCAAGAUUCAAGAACGCACCAUCAAUCUUCACGAAUUCAAGAACCAAGGUAUGUUAGGUGUUCAUCCAGGGGUUUUCUUCCACCCUUGGAAUUCAAGAACCUCUUUUAAAACUUCAAGUUUAUUUAUUUCAUGAAUUCAAUGUUGAGUUUGAACGUAUUCAUGAUUAUGAUUUUAAUUGGGUUUCUAAUCCAUGAUUUAUUAUGAGAUUCAUGUAAAUUUAUUCGACAUGUGUGUAGUAAUAUGUGAAUUCAUGUUUAAGCCCUUCAAUUUGUAGGUUGGGAUUUGAAAUCAUGAUGCCUACAUGUUGUUUGGUAUCAUGUGUAUAGAUUAUGUUCCCCAAGUGUUUGAUAAAUUGCUCACGUGAAUUAAAUGGGAAAAUCAUGACACGCUAGUGUAUGUACAAGCUUAUAUCUUACAAGAGUUUGAUAAAAUAUCUCUAUGAAUGAGUUACAAACAUAGUAAUGCUUUUCAAGAUCAUGCUAUGCUUUACUUUCCAUGUUAUCGAGUCCUGGGGGCAUCUAAUACCUGACAAUCUAACUGCUUACCUAGAAUUACAAUAAUUUCAGAACACUCCCAGUGAUGCCAUGUAUUACGUGUUCAGUCUUUGACAUAGAGUAUAGCUACAUAUGUUUGAACCUAUAAUUUCAAAAAUGUAAUGGCUAUAAGAUCCAAAAGGUUAAACUGGUCAAAUUUAUAUCUUAGAUCCACCUCUUCGUAAUAAUGCACCAUAUUGUCGAAUUUUGGAUCCGUCUCUAUAACUAAGAGUCCCCACAAACUAAACAAAAUUACUAUAAUGGUGAGAAUGAGUCAAAACUAAUAUCUCUAUUUUCUGUUCUUUGCUUAGCGUUGAAGCUCAUAACUAUGGAUUAUGUAUUCUAAUUUUGAUUUGUGAAUAAUAUAAUAAAAAUAAUAAUAGUUCCAUCUAAAAAGAUAAUUAGUAGUGGAACUUCAACUGUAUAAACAUGUUGAUUCUUACCAAGGUACUGACCUUGGUAAGAAUACAAAUAAGGAAAUGUAAAUUAUAACAACCAAGAACUUAAACAGCAAUUGCCUUCUCCAAGUAUAAUGAUAUGACAAUAAUAUAAAAAUAAAUUAUUGAUUGCUCAUGUGAAAAUAUUAACUUCAAAUCCAAAUGACAUUUCAAUAACUCAAAUUGAAAAGCCACUUCCUCAACACUAUAAUGACCUCAUUAACAAAGUUCAAUCCCCGGAAAAGCGAAAACUACAACAACCUACCCAGUCUAAUCCUAGAAUUGUGGUUUGGGGAUAAUAUCCCGUAAUGGGAAUAACUACCAACAUGCAAUGAUAAUGUCAGAGAAGUACAAGUGUGUGCAUGAUAUGUAUGGAAUAUAUCCAAGCAUAAACAACAAUGCCCCUAAUUAUUUGAUUGAGAGGUCAAGUGGUCAUCUUAUGCUGAAAUACUCUUAUCCUAUAAUUCAGCCAUUGGAAAUAUAUUCCAUAUAGAGAAAUAUAUAGAUAGACUACAUAUAUUCAGUCUGUUCAUUAUGUUGAAUCUAUUUCUAGAAAAGGUCAAGUCAUUUUUUGCAACCAUUAAUCCUUCUAAUCCUUCAAUGGAUACUUCUUCUAAUGAAGAGAGAGUAUUUGGGAUGACAGUAGCAGACAGAACUAAUAUCGUAUAGAUAUGAUGAAAUGGAAAGCAUAUUUUUCUAGUUAACAUGCAUCUUUGAACUUCACAAUUGUGAGCGAGGAAACAGAUUGGAACUAUUAAGUUGAUCACCCAGAUUCUUUCAUAACUUUGCGGAGGUUUGUAGCUCAAAAAAAUAAUGUGAGCAUAAGAAUAAGCUAAAGUAUAUACACACUACUUAUUACAAGUAUACCUAUUACCCGGUUAUUUUGGUGCCAAGUUUAAAGGGAGUAAAUUUUAGUGAAAAGAAACUAUUCUUUCAAAAGGUUGAGAAAGAUCAUACUAGAUUGUAUUGCAAAAUCAAUACAAUAUGGAGACAUGCUCUAGUUUGCAAAGAUUAACAUUAGAAAAUUACUGAAGGUCUGUAACUACAAGAAGCAACUAACCUAAGCUAAUAGAAGUCCUAAAGAUGGAGUUAAAUAUCAAGGAACAAUGCUCACACACUGUUCAUACAAGGCAAACGUAGGUAAUGGAAGGUUACUUUAGUGAAUACAAGUGCAUCCCGUAUUGCGAAUCAAACUAAUUGGAAAAAAUAUGAAACUUACAUCACAUAAAAACAAAACUACACUUAAAGACCCAAUUGGAAAGAUCUAUACUAAUAGGAAACAAUAACUGCAACUGCAGGAUACAGAACCCCUUCAGCAAGCUCAAGAGGAUCCCAUUGACAGAUUUAGGCAAACAGACAGACCAACAAAUAGAACAAGGGGAAAAAGAAGAUGCCCUUAAACCAACGCUUAGAUAAAUAACAACAAUUCAACUGAAAUCUUUCAACAUACUUUAUUUAUCAUCCACAUCUCAUCAUUCAUAAAGAAAUGGACAAAGCCUAUGAAGGAAUAUAAGUUUUAAAUUUCCUGCUUUAGAUUCUAAAAAUCGAACCAAGAGAAAAAUAUGACAUGCUAAUUAACAAACAAGAAAUACAAAUGAGUCAUAAAUAAAUGCAAGAGAAAAAUGUUUCAUUAAAUAUACAACUCUAACAUAUAAGAUCCAAAGAGAGUAAUAGACAAGACAUUUGACCACUGAAAUAUUUGUUGAUGAAUGGUACUAGGAAAAAUUUCUAGGAAGAGCCCUUCUCAAAGAGGUGCACUUUUAUUGGGAUCACGGUGUACCCCCAUUUUACAGUAAACUUUAAUUCCUCGCUAAAGUAAACCCCUACGAACAUACCAGUCAUUAAGAUCAGACUAGACAUUUUUGAAUUCAGAAGCAAGUCAGAAUUCCAGCUUUCUCUAUUUAGUUAGGAAAGCAAGAAGUCAUGAUAUAUAGCAAUAUACAUUGACAACUGAGUAUGGCAUCCAAUGCAAUGAAACCAUCAGUUAAUGAUGUGUUCACUGCCAAGGUAGAUAUUUUUCUUUACCUUAUAAGACAUUGCAUAUAAAGAGAAAGAUAAUCAAUCCUCUUGGGCAGUCGAGAGUAUUAUGUAAAAAGGACAAAAGAGCAUCAUAUCCUAAAGGAGAAGGAGGAAAGUAAUUAAUAAUCUAGUGGGAAUCCUGAUAUUGAGUGAACCUCAAAGCUAUGCCAGCCUGGAGUUAGUUCUUCCUAUGGACAACCAUUUUUAAAGACCUAAUCUAGGCAUUAAAAAUAUAAAAACAUCACACGAAAGAAAGAUAUAUGAACAAGGUAAUCAAUUCUUUGACUUUCUAUUAACAAAUUAAAAAGGGGAAAAGGAAAUUCUUUUAGUAUGACAUUUGCUUUUAUUCAUAAAGGUCAGAAGAAAAUAAGAAUAUAUAGAUAUCAUGCUGUAAGACCCUACAAAAUUCUAAGCUUUACUCAGUCUCUUAAAGCAUGAAAAGAGGUCCCAGACUUAGAAAUUUCGGCUAAGUGUCCUUACUUAGAAUUAUUUUAGCAUUCAUAAUUUGGAAAUUUUAUUUCAUAGUCCUUAUGACCUUAAAAUGUCAAUCUUUAGAUUAAAUCAUGAUCAGGGGUGUCAAUAGAUCACUUUGGGUGAGUUUUGGAUUUUUUGGACCUUAUUUGAACUAUGCUCAGGUGACCAAAAUAGUGGGUCAAUGUGAUCUCGAUGCAUCGCAUCGCUGAUCACGUCGACAGAUAAUUUUCUCCCAGCUUUUAGUGCAAUUCCAAUGAACCAAUGCGAACUCAACACAGAGCGUUUGUCAUCGCAUUGAUGCCAUCGACACAGCGCUUUGAUCUUCACGUUUCUGGGCAAGCUUUCAGUCAUUAAAAGCCUGCGUCUAUAGGGGUAUUUGAUUCAUUUUCCCACCCUUAUAUCAGCCCCAAAACACGUAUUUAAGUUAUCCAAAAGGCAAAAUUCAUUCAUUCUCUCAAAAAGUUUCUCAAGAACAAACCCUAAGGGAUUUAAUUUCAAAUUCAAGUUUUAAGAACACAUCAUCAAUCUUUACAAAUUCAAACACCAAGGUAUGUUAGGCGUUUAUCCAAUGGUUUUCUUCCACCCUUGGAGUUCAAGAACCUCUUUUAAAAUAUCAAGUUUAUUGAUUUCAUGAAUUCCAUAUUGGGUUUUAAUAUAUUUAUGAUUAUUAUGUUAAUUGGGUUUCUAAUCCAUGAUUUAUUAUGAGAUUCAUGUAAAUUUAUUUGACAUGUGUGUAGUCUUACAUGAAUUCAUGUUUAAGCUCUUGCAUUUGUAGGUUGGUAUUUGAAAUCAUGAUUCCUACAUGUUGUUUAGUCUCAUGUGUAUAGAUUAUGUUCCCCAAGUGUUUGAUAAAUUGCUCAUGUGAAUUAAAUGGAGAAAUCAUGACAUGCUAGAAUAUGUACAAGCUUAUAUCUUACAAGUGUUUGAUAAAAUGUUGAAUGAGAAAAUGUUGAAUGAGUUAUGAACAUUGUAAUGCUUUUCAAGAUCAGGCUAUGCAUUACUUUCCAUAUUAUCGAGUCCUAGGGGUAUCUAAUACCUGACAAUCUAGCUAUUUACCUACAAUUAUAUUAGUUUCAGAAUAGUCCCAGUGAUGUCACAUAUAGUAGUGUUCAGCCAGUUAUAGAACUCAGUGUAUUCAGUCAGUUAAUAGAACUCAGCGUACUCAGUUAGACAAUAGAACUCAGUGAAGUUAGUUCACUUAGACAAUAUGAUCACUAACAGUUUAGUCUAGCCUAGAGUAGUUGAGAAAUCAGUUCAGUGUUUAUUCAGUUGGGAGUAGAAUUUAGCACCAAGUGAACCCAAGGAUGGGGACGCAUCUGCCAGUAGAAGGUGUGAUCCUUAGAAGUAGUCCUUGCAUUCUAGAACUAUGUAGCCAGCGUAGAAUGAGACAUCAACCUGCUAGUUAAGAGUUAAUGAAGUAUUCUACCUGCCAGUUGAGGGUACGAUCGUUCUCGUUGAGAGUACCUGCCAGAUAAGGGUGAAUCAACACUUGUCUUUACUCGUGGCAUGGUACUGAUACAAUCCAACGAGGGUUACAGGUUGGACCCUAAAUCAGUUCAGAGAAGGGGCAUAUCAUUUGGAUAAUUACCUUCCAGAGUUUCAGUUUUAGUCUCAGUAUAGAACUCAGUUCAGUUCUACAGAAUUAGGACUAUUGGACAUAGUCACUCAGCUCAGUAUAGAACUCAGUUCAUUUCUACAGAAUUAGGGCUGUCAGAAUCAGCCACCCAGCUAUCAGUAAUACAAUUAUUAGUAAACUCAGAUAUCAGUCAUUCUGUUAUCAGAAUUCAGUAUCUAGCGUUACUAUGAUCUCAGACACAGUAUAUAUAGAUAGGUGCACAGUAUUGCAUAAUCAGUGUUUCAUCAGUUUCAGUUAUACAUGUACUCUCAUUUAGUUGUGUUCAUGUUAUUCAGCCAGUUAUUGUUCAUGCAUAUGAACCUUUGCAUAUCAGCCUACCUCACUUAGCAUACCAGUACAUUCAAAGUACUGAUGCAUACCUUUAUUUUGUGCUAUGAUGUCUUAUAUCAAUGGUUCAGACGCACGGGAUCUUGACUGUACUUACCAGCCCAGACUAUCAGUAGCAUACCUAGUGGUGAGUCCUCAUAAUUUGAGAACAAAGUUAUCAUAUCAUUUCAUUAUUUCAGUACUUAGUUCAUUUCAGUAGUCGGGGUUAGUUUGGGACUUGUCCCAUCAACUUCAUAUUCAGAUGUCACAUAUAGUAGUGUUCAGCCAGUUAUAGAACUCAGUGUAUUCAGUCAGUUAAUAGAACUCAGCGUACUCAGUUAGACAAUAGAACUCAGUGAAGUUAGUUCACUUAGACAAUAUGAUCACUAACAGUUUAGUCUAGCCUAGAGUAGUUGAGAAAUCAGUUCAGUGUUUAUUCAGUUGGGAGUAGAAUUUAGCACCAAGUGAACCCAAGGAUGGGGACGCAUCUGCCAGUAGAAGGUGUGAUCCUUAGAAGUAGUCCUUGCAUUCUAGAACUAUGUAGCCAGCGUAGAAUGAGACAUCAACCUGCUAGUUAAGAGUUAAUGAAGUAUUCUACCUGCCAGUUGAGGGUACGAUCGUUCUCGUUGAGAGUACCUGCCAGAUAAGGGUGAAUCAACACUUGUCUUUACUCGUGGCAUGGUACUGAUACAAUCCAACGAGGGUUACAGGUUGGACCCUAAAUCAGUUCAGAGAAGGGGCAUAUCAUUUGGAUAAUUACCUUCCAGAGUUUCAGUUUUAGUCUCAGUAUAGAACUCAGUUCAGUUCUACAGAAUUAGGACUAUUGGACAUAGUCACUCAGCUCAGUAUAGAACUCAGUUCAUUUCUACAGAAUUAGGGCUGUCAGAAUCAGCCACCCAGCUAUCAGUAAUACAAUUAUUAGUAAACUCAGAUAUCAGUCAUUCUGUUAUCAGAAUUCAGUAUCUAGCGUUACUAUGAUCUCAGACACAGUAUAUAUAGAUAGGUGCACAGUAUUGCAUAAUCAGUGUUUCAUCAGUUUCAGUUAUACAUGUACUCUCAUUUAGUUGUGUUCAUGUUAUUCAGCCAGUUAUUGUUCAUGCAUAUGAACCUUUGCAUAUCAGCCUACCUCACUUAGCAUACCAGUACAUUCAAAGUACUGAUGCAUACCUUUAUUUUGUGCUAUGAUGUCUUAUAUCAAUGGUUCAGACGCACGGGAUCUUGACUGUACUUACCAGCCCAGACUAUCAGUAGCAUACCUAGUGGUGAGUCCUCAUAAUUUGAGAACAAAGUUAUCAUAUCAUUUCAUUAUUUCAGUACUUAGUUCAUUUCAGUAGUCGGGGUUAGUUUGGGACUUGUCCCAUCAACUUCAUAUUCAGACAGUCAGAGGCUUUCGGACUAGACUUUCAGAUAAUAUUCAGUUGUACAAAUUAUUAUUAUAGUUGGUAUUCUUUAUCAGUAAUUCAGGUUUGAACCUUAUGGCAUUUCAACCUAUUUUUCUGCAUUUAUUUUAGCAUUAUUACUCAGUGCUCACAGCAGAUAUCGGUCAUGGGUUAGCCUGUGCUCCUUCAGGGUUGUAAGCACCAUGUAACAUCCAAGGUGUAGACUCAGGGUGUUACACAUGCUAUAUUCUUCCUUCAUUUUCUUUUUGGUAUUCAUUUAAGGCCUAAAGAAUGCAGAUACCAUUCAAGUCUAAAAUAAACAACGAAGAAACUACUUUCACCCAUCUAUAGUUCUCAAAAUUGGAUGAAACCUGAACAGAGCACUCUAAAUUGAGAAAGAUGCUCCAACAUGCUCUAACUCUAUCAGCAGGGUGUAAUUCCAAUCAUUGCAGAAAACAAAACCUACACAUGUCACCUGUUUUUUCCUACUAUGCAAUAAAACUAAGAGCACAACAACAAAACAUACCAAGUUUAAUUCGAUAAGUGGAGUCUGGGGAAGGUGGUGUUUACGCAGCCUUACACCCACCUUAUGAAGGUAUAGAGGCUUUUUUUAUAGACCCUCGACAAUAAAACUAAGAGCACAUUGAAUGCAAAUUCUAAAUUAAAUAGGGGUUGUGUAGAAUACAUACUUCAGCUUGAUAUAUUGAACCUCCUUAACACGGAAUUCAGCAUUUUCAUUUUUCUCCUCCUCCUCUAAUAUAUCCUGGACUUGAUAAGCCCAUGUAUCUUUCAAAGUUUAGUUAUUACAGAAGGAAAUUAAAUCAAUGACCCCAUCAGAAAGAUAAGUCCUCAAGGGUACUGAACCAAUAAUAAAAACCUGGAAAGAGUAAGGGGAUAAAAAAGACUAGCAAUAAAAUGUCCCACAUUACCAAGCCAUACCAUAAUGCCUGCAUAUUAUGUUUUCUUUUAGUAAUAAAAGUAAGAGGAUGAAGUUUUUAUAUCAACUCUAAGCAAUCCUUUUUUACCAAAGAAAGUUUAAAUCAAUGAAAUACAGCCAUUUGCAUCACAAACAUUAAUUUAAAUUCACUUUAUCACCAUCAAAACAUCUAUAUCCAGGUCAACCUUAAUAUAAUUAUUGACAAAGAAACUGUAAAACAGAAACAAUUGUACAGUACCAAAUGAUACCUUGGUAGCCAGAUAAAGGGAGCCAAAUUUAUUUAAUGUAGCCCUCAUUAAAGAUAUAAUAGAUGUCAAUAUUGUAAUGCCCUGAGUUUGUACCCCGAAUGUCACAUAAUGUUUACGACCCUGAAGGACCACAAGCUAACCCAUGACUAGUACCUGCUAUAAGCACUAAAUAAUAAUACUAAAAUAAUGUAGAAGUUAGGCUAAAGUACCAUAAGGUUCAUAAUUUGAGUAUUAAUAAAUUUAGCAACUGAUAAUAACAUCUAAAAAUUGAAUACUGUCUGAACUAGUUUAGUUUAAAAAGCCUCUACUUAACUGUCUGGAUGUGGAGUUGAUGGGACAAUCCCCCAACUAACUUCGACUAAUAGAAUACUGAAUUUUUUGUAAUACUGAAAUGAAUAAUAUCCUCGAUGGAUGAGGACUCACUACUGAAUCUACUGCUACUAACUGAAUUUGGCUAAGUGUGGUCAGGAACCUAAGCAUUCGAACCUAUGAUAUGAGACAUCAUAGCGCAAGAAAAGAGUAUGCGAUCAGUAUAUAGAAUAUACUGUAUGCUAGAUGAGGUAAGGCUAAAAUGCAUGGGUUCAUACGCAUGCACUAUAACUGACUAGUGAUAUGAAUAUAAUUGAAUAAGAGUACAUGGAUAACUAAAUCUACUGUAAACACUGAUUAUGCCAUACUAUGCAUAUACACAUAUACUAAGUCUGAGAUUUAUACUAACACUGAGUUCUGAGUUUUGAUAACUUAGUAACUGAUAUUUGAGAUUACUGAUAACUGGGUAACUGUUACGAAUAGUCUUGAUUUUGUAAAGCUGAACUUAGUUCUAUACUGAAGACUAAAAUUGAAAUUGUAGGAGGUAAUCAUCUAACCGACAUGCUCUUUUCUAAAACUAUUGGGGUCCAACCGGUAACCCCAGUUAGAAGGGUGUCAGUGUCGUGCCAUGGGUAUAGACAUUGGCUAUGAGGAUCCACUGAAAUGUCAUCCCGAAGGACUAAGGGCCACCCUCUAAUGGAAGGUUCCCUAAUGAGAACGAUAUUGCCCUUAACUGGAAGGUAAACACCUUAUCAACCCUCAACUAGCAGGUUGAUAUCUCAACCUACACUGGCUACUUAGUUCUAGAACACAAGGACUGCUACUAAGAAUCACACCCUCUACUAACAGGUGAUCCCCCAUCCUCGGGUUCGCUUAGUGCUGAAUCCUACUCCCAACUGAAUAGCAGUGCUGAAUCCUACUCCCAACUGAAUAGCACUGAUUAUUGAACUGGACUGAGUUUCACUGAGUUCUGUAACUGACUGAGUACUACUGUUCAUGACAUUACUGAGACUAUAUUGUAACUACUAUGAUCUAAGUAAACAACUAGAUUUUUCAAGUAUUGAAUACCCCAGUACUCGAUAGCAUCUAUGUAGAAACAUGGCACAAUCUUGAAAUCAUACUAACUAGUCACUUAGUCAUGAUUCAUUCAUUGAGACAUUUUGUCAAACACUUUCAAGGCAUGAGCUUUUACAUGAAUGGGAACACAUGCUAACAUGUCAUGAUUGCACUAUUCAAUUCACAUAGGCAUUCUAAUUGACACUUGGGGAGCAUGAUUAUUUCACAUAAUAAUAAACAUAUAUAAAUAUCAUGGCUUCAACAUUCAACUUGUAAAUUAAAGGAUUUAACAUCAGAAUCAUAUAAUUCAUCACACAUGCUAUCUCAAUUUCAUGAAACAUGUAAUUAAUCAUUGAUUGAAACCCAAACAACAUCAUGAACAUACAUACAAUCUAAUUCAAGCAUGGAAAUCAUAAAUCUAAAAACUUAUAUUUUAAAAAAGGUUCUUGGAGUCCAUGGGGGGAAAGGGAACAUGGAUGAACACCUAACAUACCUGGGAAGAUGAAUUCUUAAAGUUUCUUGGUGGAAUUCUUAAGGAUUACUCUUGAUUCUUAGAGGCAAAUUGAGAGAAUGCUCUGGAUUUUAGGGGAAAUUGAAUAGAAUAAUAACUUAACUAAGUUAUUAGGAGUUAAAUCACGUGUUUAGACUGAUUAGGGCCAUGGAAAAAGACCAAAUUACCCCAUAAAAUAAUUAAAUUUCCAUCACUAAAAAUCCCUAUUUUGGAUUUCACCGGGACGCGGUGGUAUCGCGGUGAAACAUUGGAUUUUUGUCGGCAAGUGUAGUCCAAGGACGAGUGUAAAAAUGCACUUUGGCGCAACAUGGAGGUAUUGCGAAGCCUCACUGAAAAGUGAUAAUUGCAAAAUGGCACUCUAGCGCAACUCGCCGUUAUCGCAUUGACACACUGGAAAUGCCAUUUGGGAGCUGAAAUUUCACCGCAAUACGAUGGAAUCAUGGUGUCUCACUGGAAACUGACAAAUGCUAUUUGGCCUAUCUCCGUGAUGCGGUGCUGCUCAAUUUGACAUACUAUUUCACUAAAAGUGCCAUAAAUUUUCAUCGGGAUAUCGAAUUUGGGCGAAAUUUAUAUCGUUGGAAAGCUGACUGAAUUUCCUAUACUUUAGUAAGUCUUAAAAUGGAAAAUUCUAAGUAUUUUGAAAGUUUUAUACAGAAAUUCUUGUGUACUGAGAGCUAAACUAAGCUAGGAAAAUACAGAGUAUUACAAUAUCUCCCCUUUGGAAACAUUCGUCCUCUAAUGAGACUGAUUAACCAAAGAAAUACUAAUAGACUAAGUUUACAUACUCAACAUGCAUAACUAAAGCAUGAGUACAUGACUUAACUGAUUCAUGAAUGCUUGACUAUCAUGAAGAUGAUAUGCAAUGGUAACUGAUACCAAGUAGCUCUAAUUCUGAGUUUGCGAAAAAGAAGUGAGAAUAAUUGGUCCGCAUAUCUGCUUCUACUUCCCAAAUAGCUCCCUCAAUGGGCUGGUUCCUCCAAAGAACUUUGACCAAGGGAACUUCUUUGUUCCUUAGUAUAUGAAUCUGAUGAUCAAGGAUUUAUACUGGGACCUCUUCAAAAGAGAGAUCAUUUUGAAUGUCUACGCCUUCGAAGGGGACUACAACUGUUGGGUCACCAAUGGAUUUCUUUACUAAAGAGACGUGGAAUACUAGGUGUACUGAAGCUAAGUCUGAAGGCAACACUAGCUCAUAAACUAACUUUUCGAAACGACUGAGAAUUCUAUAAGGACCGAUAUAUUGGGGACUGAGCUUUCCCUUCUUGCAGAACCUCUUCACUCCCAUUAUGGGAGAGAUUUUUAAGUACACAAAAUUGCCGAUCUCAAACUCAAGAUCUUUUCUCCUCACAUUUGCAUACGAUUUCUGUUGGCUCUGGGUUGCCCUAAGCCUUUCUCUGAUCAACUAAAACUUCUCUAAGGCAUCAAACACUAAAUCAGGCCCUACUAUAAUGGCCUCACCUACCAUAAACCAAUCAAUUAGAGAUCUACAUCUCCUACCAUAAAGAGCCUCAAACGAAGCCAACUGAAUACUAGAAUGAUAGCUAUUAUUAUAUACGAAUUUGGUCAAAGAAAAGUGGUCAUCCUAACUACCUUUAAAAUCAAUAAUGGAUGCUCUUAACAUAUCUUCUAGAGUCUGAAUGGUCCUUUCUGCUUGACCAUAUGUUUGAGGGUAAAAAGUUGUACUGAGGUAAACUUGGGUACAAAGACCCUUUUGGAAUGCAUUCCAAAAAUGAGUUAAACUGGGUACCUCUAUAUGAAAUAAUGGAUAUUGGGAUUCCGUUUAACCUAACCUCUCUUAUAUAGAGUUUGGCAUAGUCCUCGGCCGAAUAGAAAGCAUAGACUGACAAGAAAUGAGUAGAUUUGGUCAUCCUAUCUAUGAAAACCCAAAUCAAAUUAUUCUGAUGAUGAGUACGAGGCAAACCCAUCACAAAGUCCAUGUUCACUUCUUCUAUUUCCAUGUGGAAAUAUUGAACUCCUGGAUGGACCCCCUAGGCUUCUUGUACUCAAUCUUAACCUGCUGACACGUAGAGCACUUAGCUACAAAAUCUGAGAUAUCCCUCUUUAUCCCACUCCACUAAUAGAUCUCCCACAAAUCGCGGUACAUCUUAGUGUCCCUUGGAUGAAUAGAGUAGCUCACACCAUGCACUUAUGCAAGAAUGUACUGCCUUAACUCAUCAAAACAUGGCACACACAGUCUACCCUGGCAACGUAAUAUACCAUCUCUUUCUUGGGAGAAAAACUCUACUUUCUGAUCUUUGAUUGACUCUUUCACUUCAGAAACUAGAGAUAAUUCUAAACUAUUUUGCACCCACACACUAAACUAACUUUUUUUACCAUUCUCAGCACUACCCAUAGACAACCUACUGAGAGUAUCUGCCAUUAUAUUGGCCUUUUCAUAUCAUAAUCUUUCAACAACUCUAACCACCUUCUCUGAUGUAGAUUUAAAUCUUUCUAAGAGAACACAUACUAUAACCUUUUGUGAUAUGUGAACAUAUCAACAUUCACCCUAUACAAAUAAUGCCUCCAAAUCCUUAAGGAAAGCACAACAGCAAGAUCAUGGGUAGGGUAAUUUCUUUCACGGGGCUUAAGUUGUCUAGAGGCAUAGGUUAUGACUUUACCUCUCUACAUUAGGACACAACCCAACCUAACUCUGAAUGCGUCACAGUACACAACAAACCCAUCUAAACCAUCUGGUAAUAUCAAAACUAGGGUUGUAGUGAGUCGAUUCUUCAACUCCUGAAAACUCUUCUCACAAGAAUCUGACUACUAAAACUUGACUUUUUUCUGAGUUAAUCUAGACACAAGGGAUACAAUAGAUGAAAACCCUUUAAAAACCAUUGGUAAUAGCCAGCUAAAUCCUAGAAAUUCCUGAUAUUUGACGAAUAAGUGGGUCUAAGACAGUUUCUCACUGCCUCGAUCUUUUGAGGAUCAACUCUAAUGCCAUCACCAUAAAUAAUAUAACCAAGGAAUGUUACUGGCCUUUGCCAAAAUUCCCACUAACUAAAUUUGGCAGACAACUGAUGGGCUAUGAGAGUUUGAAGUACGAUUCUGAGGUGAUAUACAUGAUCAUUCUCGCUACGAGAAUAGACAAGAAUGUCAUUGAUGCAGACUAUAAUGAACAUGUCCAAGUACUACUUAAACACGUGAUUCAUUAAGUCCAUGAAGGCUGUUAGAGCAUUUGUGAGACCAAAGGACAUGACUAGAAACUCAAAGUGACCAUAUCGGGUUCAGAAAGCUAUUUUUGGAAUGUCACAUCAUCUGACUUUAAGUUGAUGAUACCCUGAUCUAAGGUCUUUCUUAGAAAAGUAAAUGGUGCCCAGAAGUUGGUCAAAUAAGUCAUCGAUUCAAGGAAGUGGGUAUUUGUUCUUGACUAUAACUUUGUUCAACUGACGAUCGUCUAUACACAUUCUGAGUGAACCAUCUUUCUUAUGCAUGAAUAAGACUAGUGAGCCCCAUGAGAAAAUGCUGGGUCUAAUAAACCCUUUGUCUAAAAGGUCUUUUAACCAUUCUUUUGACUCUUAUAGUUCAGCGGGAGCCAUUCUGUAUAGAGAAAUAUAUAUAGGCUGAGUGUCAGGAAGAAGGUCUGUUUUGAAGUUGAUUUUUCUUUCAGGAGGAACUCUAGGAAGAUCCUCAGGAAACACAUCUGAGAAUUUAUUUACUACUGGAACUGACUCAAGACUGGGAAUCUCUGAACUAGAGUCUUUGACCACAAGAUGAUAGACAUAUACCUUGGAUAUCAUUUUUCUCACUCUAAGGUAUGAAAUCAACUGACCCUUAAGCACUGUAGUACUACCCCUCUAUUUAAGGACUGGUUCAUUUAGAAACUGAAAAUGAACAACUUUGAUUCAAAAGUCAAUUGAGGCAUAGCAUGAAUGAAGCCAUUUUAUGCCAAGAAUAACGUCGAAAUCCAUCAUCUCUAACUCUACUAAGUCUGCUAAAGUGAUUUUCUAAAAUAUCAUAACUGGAUAGUUCCUGUAUAUCCACCGGGCUAUAAUAGACUGACCCACUGGGGUAGAUAUUGAGAAAAGUUCUAUCAAGAUUUCUGGUCUGACCUUAAAGUUGACUGCUAUGUAAGGAGUUACAAAAGAUAGAGAAGAUGUUGGAUCUAAUAAGGCAUAAAUAUGUAAAUGAAAGAUCUGUAAUGUACCAGUGAACAAAUUAGGAGAACUUUCCUGAUCUUGUCUGGACUGAAGUGAAUAGAGCCUGUUUGGACGUUGCCCACUGGUGGCACUAGAAGUGGCACCCUACUGAUUUGGGCGACCGGACUGAGCUGAGGGAUAAUUGUACUAACCCUAUGAACCUAACUGAGGACAAUUUCUAAUUCUAUGGCCUGGCUUAUGUAAUACCCCGUAAAAGUCCUAGUCUAAUUUAUUCCUAUAUAGCAUAAAAAGAGGUCCCAGACUUAGAAAAAUUCAACCAAGUAUUGACACUUAGUUUCUUUUAUGGGCUUAGUAUUUCAAUGACUUUAUUUUUUAUCUUUUUCGACCUUGGAUUGUUGAUUUUCCAAUUUAUUCAUGAUUAGGGUUGUUAAUAGGUCAUAUCGGGUGAGUUUUGGAAUCUUUGGACUAGCGUAAGGGUGACUUUAGAUGUCCAAAACAGUAAGGUCUUAUGAUAAGCUCGCGAUGCGAGAUCUAGUCCCCAUUUUUUAGAGUCGCGUUGCAAGGUCUAUUCCCUAUUUAUGGGAGUCACAAUGCGAGGUCUAUUCCCCAUUUCUGGAAGUUGUGCCUCAAGGGUCAUUUAGACAGGAAACUACUUUCACCCAUCUAUAGUUCUCAAAAUUGGAUGAAACCUGAACAGAGCUCUCUAAAUGGAGAAAGAUGCACCAACAUGCUUUAACUCUAUUAGCAGGGUGUAAUUCUAAUCAUUGCAGUAGAGAAAACCUACAUAUAUCACCUGUGUUUUCCUACUAUGCAACAAAACUAAGAGCACAACAACAAAACAUACCAAGUUUAAUUCGAUAAGUGGGGUCUGGGGAGGGUGGUGUUUACGCAGCCUUACACCCACCUUAUGAAGGUAUGGAGGCUUUUUUUGGUAGACCCUCGACAAUAAAACUAAGAGCACAUUGAAUGAAAAUUCUAAAUUAAAUAAGGGUUGUGUUGAAGACAUACUUCAGCUUGAUAUACUGAACAUCCUUAACACGAAAUUCAGCAUUUUCAUUUUUCUCCCCCUCCUCUAAUAUAUCCUGGACUUGAUAAGCCCAUGUAUCUUUCAAAGUUUAGUUAUUACAGAAGGCAAUUAAAUCAAUGACCCUAUCAGAAAGAUAAGUCUUCAAGGGUACUGAACCAAUAAUAAAAACCUAGAAAGAGUAAGGGGAUCAAAACGGUUAGCAGUAAAAAGCCCCACAUUACCAAGCCACACCAUAAUGCCUGUACAUUAUGUUUUCUUUUAGUAAUAAAAGUAAGAGGAUGAAGUUUGUAUGUCAACUCUAAGUAAUCCAUUUUUAUCAAAGAAAGUUUACAUCAAUGAAAGAUAGUCAGUUGCAUCACAAACAAUAAUUUUAAAUUCACUUUAUCACAAUCAAAACAUCUAUAUCCAGGUCAACCUUAAUAUAAUUGUUGACAAAGAAACUGUAAAACAGAAACAAUUGUACAAUACCAAAUGAUACCUUGGCAUCUAGAUAAAGGGAGCCAAAUUUAAUUAAUGUAUCCCUCAUUAAAUAUCAAUAUUGUAACGCCCUGAGUUUGCACCCCGAACGUCACACAGUGUUUAUGACCCCGAAGGACAACAAGCUAACCCAUGACUGGUACCUACUGUGAGCACUAAAUAAUAAUACAAUGACCUUCAAUAGUUGAUGCCUGAGUGAUUAAAUGACUAGAAUCUAGUAAAUGGUUAACUAACGUCUAUAUACUAAGUAGCUGAUUUAUGAAAAUCGACUAACUGAUAUCUAAAUACUAUAUAACCGAUAACUUAAUAUUAAGUAACUAACACCUGGAUACUGGUUUACUGAUAUCUAAAUACUGAUUUGUUGGUAUUUGUGUACUGAUUAUCUGAUAACUGUAUGCUUGUUAACCAAUGUCUGAAUACUGAUCAUGUAAAACUAAAUAGUACUUAGUCUAAAUAACUAUACUGAAAUUGUGUGAGGUAUCAUAUAAAUGAUAUGCCCAAUCUGAGCUAAUCAGGGUCCAACGUGUAACCCCAGUUGGAAGGGAGUCAAUACUGUACCACAGGUACUAACACAAGCUAUGUGGAUCCACUAAUUUGUUGUCUCAAAGGACCAGGGUGUCAAGCCUAAACUGAUGGGUGACCACUAAGAAAAAGUCAACCCUAAACUGAUGGGUGAUCCCUCAUAUCCUACGUUGGCUAUAUAGUUCUGGAAUGUAUGGACUGCUACUAACGACUCUGCUUAAAUUGAUGAGGGGAGCCGCCAACCAUGCAUUCAUACAAUGCUAAAUUCUACUCCCAAUUGAAGUGACAGUGGUACUGAACUGAACUACGUUUAACUGAACAUAACAACUAACAUUGCUCAUCAUGAUCAUAAUAAUUGAGUAACUGAUAACAUUCGUGGUUUAAAUAAAUCAUUACUUGAGAAUCUGAAAUCAUGUAAAAUAUAUAGGUAUCAGGUGUUCAUAACCUACCACCACUGAAUAAUCAUAAAAUACAAUAUCAAACUUGAAAUACUGUAAUAUAUGAUCAUGGUUAAAAGACCCAAAACAUUGGCAUUUCAUCAAACAUGUGAAAUCAUAAACUCAAACAUGGGAAUGAAUUAAACAUGAGGAAACAACAUGGUUUCAUGGCUAAAUUCAUAAUUUGGGGAUUAAUCCUGAAAUCAAUUGAUCAUGACAUGGGAAUUACAACACUUAAAAAAUAAUAUGACUCAUUCUACUUGAAAACACUUGUAAACGUAACUUGUAAUUGAAUUAACAAGAGAUUCAUGGAGUUAUUUUAUCUUGAACAUAUAUAAGCUCAAAGUUUAAACCAAAAGAGGGUUUUUUGGCUACAUGGGUUAAAGAAAUCCAUGGAUGAACAUCCGACAUACCUUAACUGAUGAAUUCUUGAAGAAAUCUUACAGUUGAAGCUUAAAUCCUUGUAUUCUUGAGAGAAAAAGCUUGAAUUAUUGUUCUUAGGAAAGGGGAGGAACUUUACAAGAGAAAUUUUGAGGAAAAUGGGCAAAUAAUGCCCUUUUUAGUUUUAUAAAUCGUGCCUUGGAUGUUUAGGGUUGAGGAAAAAGGACCAAAGUGCCCCUUGACCCUUAGAAGCUAAAACUAUAGGGGAAUAUGAUCUGCAUCGCGUCUCUUAUUCUUGGGGAGAGAGCUCUGCAUUUCUCCCCUUAUUCCAGGGGAGAGACCAUCGCAUCGCAGUAUAUCAUAUACCCUUACUAUUUCUUAGAAAAAUGGGCAUACCUUUUUACUCGGGUAUCGAAUUAAGGAAAAACUGGUAUCGUUGGAAAGAAAACUCAAGUAUCUAUCAUUUAGUGGGUAUUCAUCUGAAAAAUACCAUAUAUCUAUGGAGUUAUACAUUUUCAAUGUUGACCCUUGUAGAAUCGAAUGCCAAAAUUUGGCCGAAUCAAAGACACUUAUCUCAACUUUGCUCUAAGUGAUUUCUAUGAACAUUUUUCACCUCAUAAGCACUUCACACACUAGGAUAUAUAUCAUGACACAUUUAUUCAAAUACCAAUCAUGAGAUUAGAGUUUACACAUGUAGGAACGACGGUUCAAAGUCUAGCCCAAAAAUGUAGGGUGUUAGAUUAUCUCUUUCUUGAAAUCCUUCGUCCUCAAAUGAUGAAUAGGAGUUACAAGUAUGGAAUAAUGUACACAUAAAAUUUAUGGUAAUGAAGGAUGUAGCUAAGUUGAAACAUUAAAACUUAACUAAUUUAUGAGCUGACUUGACUCCAUUGAUUGUAAGGAGCUGAUUCAUGCUGAGACUUUAAAACUCGAGCUGAUUCAUGCUGAGAGUUUAAAACUCACUUGAAAUGUUCAUGAUACAAUUAUACAUAUCAAACUGCAAAGUGAUAAAUGAUGCAGUGUAAGCACAAAUCAUAAGAUAACGAGACCAAGGUCAUACAAGGGAUAUUACACUGUCUUAGCUGGAACACUUGGAAAACUGAGAUCAUGCACUAAAAAUUUAUGAACUGAAUCAUGACUAAAUAUUUGAAUUGUAGACAUGAUGCAUAGACUGAACUAAAUUUACAACUUGCAUGGACGUGAAUGAAUUACCUCAUGAAUAGGAAAGAUAGAAAAUUGUAGGAGCUUAUGUCUAACUGCUAAACUGAAUUGUUGGCUAUACAGACUAAAUCAUACUGAAAGCUCAUACUCAACUGGAGUAUUUCUUCAAAUCUCUUUGCAAGAAGUUCUAGUAACAUUAUUGAGCAAAGGAUCUCGGGCAUGAUCUAAAUGAGAUAUCUAAUUAUGGAAAUGCAACAUGGCUACAACUAUAUAAUCAUGGACUAUAGGCCUAUAAAACAUAAGCUGGGAUAGAAUUACUAGGCCCUAGGCAGCGCAACUGGACAAUUCAAACAUAUCCUUUCUCCUUAAAUUUUACUACUUGCAUGGGUGCACAUAACUAUUCCAGCCAAGGCUUGAGUUGAGCUACAUCUCAUCAUUUUCAAUCCUAACCCAAAAUUACAAGUACUACAUAUAGCACCGUAACACUAGUCUGAACCAUGAAUUCAAUACCCCGUGUAUUUUCACCACUUCUCAUCUGAAGAAUAAUUCUUCUUACCACUUCUACAACUAAAUUCAUCCUCUUACUAGAAAUUCACUAGCACACAAUGCAUUCAUCCACGUAUACACCAACAUGAUAUUCAAGCCCAUCCUCAUAACCACAUAUGAACUUCUAGGCAAAUAACCAUAAAAGCAUCUUUCUCAUAUUCUCUAAACCUCUAUUAUUAACAACUUUCAUGCACUACCCCAAGAAAAUAUACAUAGAAUUCUCAACUAACCAUGACAUAAAAAAAAGCUUAACGUCAAUUUUCCUUCAACCUUAUAGACUUAUAUUAAACAAGCAUACUACAAUCUUUUCUAUACAAGGAACAGUUACUUUCUCCUAUCUAAACAAUUACUCAUCACCACUAUCAUUUAAUAAGGAGAGGUCACUGAAAGGUGAUAACAUGAGAUCCUGAAACAUUAAAGGAUAUUGUAAGUAACUUGACACUUAACUGAGGCCUGAAGAAUAGAGUAUCAAUGACAUGAAUUCAUCAAAGAGAAUUAAACUGAGGACAUACAUGAAAUAAUCUGAAUUUCACUAGUCAUUAAGAGUGCACCAUAAGUUAUAGGAACUGAGCAUACUGCAAAGCAUGAGUACAUGAGUCAUAAGCUGCAUGACCUGAGUAUGGAGUUCAUGAUUUUAUGGAACAUGAUUCAUACUGCUGAAUGAACUGGAACUCCUUAUACUAGGAACUAGAAGUGUACAUAAUUCUCUAUGAUGUACAUAAACAUGGACAAUGAUCAUGGAGAUGACAUGUAGGGCAUGAGUAGAUGUCGUGAUGACUGAAGUACAAAACUUUGUACUGAGAUAAGAAUGGGUCGGACACCUUCCUCUCUUACUAAUGUUCUAGAUACACUGACAUCACUACUAGAAUCUGAAAGCCUGACUUGGUUACUUGAUCUAUCAUCUCCCCCUUAGCUUUAAGCCAUCAUUCAAAGUCCUGGGAUCCUUUUAAAUAACUCUAAACUGAACUGCAACCACUUUACUCUAGAGUCUGGGUAUAAUCAUACACACAAAGAAUAAUCCACCCUGAAUGACUAUACCCAAAAGUGUAAAACCCACUGCUAAUACUUUCUUCUGAGAUACAACUCAUAACUUUCUAUAGCCCCUAUAGUCAUCAUAUAAUAAGUUAAACCCUUACUAACUUAAAUCCUUCAUGAGUAUCACCAUACCAUGAGUUCACACCAUCUAGAAUUCAAUUCUUCUUACUAUUAGAUCAAUCGUCCAAGAUUUAAACUUAGAUUCUAACACGUAACAUAGAUAUUCCUAAACCUUUAAUGAAAUAUACUACUUCCAUCAUAGCCUACCAAUAUCAUAUCUCUCAACUUAUAUCUUCCAUGAGAAUUUUCACUACACUAACAUACCUAACGUCAUCAUACUAAAUUUUGAAUCAACAAACUCAAAUUCUUGCAUACAUUUUUUCAAGCCUACUAAUUUACCUUUCAUAAAACUAGCCCCAUGAAUACAUAAUCUACUAAUAUAGAUAACUUUAUCCCCACUUUACUAUGACUAAACUUUUGGGUUCAUGCUUCAAAUUCUAGAUCAUAUGCUAUCAAAUGAUUCUGAGAUGGGAUCUGAAAGCACAUAUGACUUUGGCUUAGUGCACGAUUUUUAUGAACAUGAAUGAAGUCCUUUAUAAUUUGGAACAUAAAGUCACUGAUGGGAUACUUUCAAGCCUACAUACAAUCCCACAACUGUCUGUGGGACGUGUUUGUUAAAACUCUGAUGGGAUUUAAGCUUGGUUAUUUCUGUUGCCUCAAGAGUAAGUCAGAGUUGGCAUGAAUGGAUUAAUAUAAGAAUCUGCAUAAGUUCUUUAGAGAAUAUUUUUACUACACGAUCUGAGACAUAAAAUAAGGAAAACCUUUCUUACAUAUCCUGUAGUCUCUCGAAGAAAACUAUAAAUGUCUCCAUACCGUUCUGCAAGAAUCUACUAGACACGACUUUAUAUACAACCUAGGAUAUUUGAACUCUGUGCUAUGAUACCAAAUUUUUCACGAUCUGAGAUUACCCCUAGUCGUAACACGGUGCUUGGAACUACAAGUGAUCCCAAGUUAACCUAUAAAAUGACAUACUAUUGAGCAGCUGAUUUAAUAUGUAUAUAACAAAACAUAAUUUGCUGAGUGGACGCAUAAUCAUGAGAAAAUAUGUUUGAAUGUAAUAUUGACUAAGUUUACAAAAUGAUACAUCUGAAGAAAGAACUUGAUUUACAAUAUCAUGACUCAGAUUGACUAUCUAUGAAGCCUCUACUAUACUGAUUAUAGAUAGCUGUAACAUGCCUCCAAUUACCACAAAUCAAUACAUAUAAAUAAUCAAAGAAAAUUACAUUAACUACUACUGAAUAAGAGUCCCUAAAACAAGAAAACUCAUCACUUGCUGGCUGAUUAUGUCGNNNNNNNNNNNNNNNNNNNNNNNNNNNNNNNNNNNNNNNNNNNNNNNNNNNNNNNNNNNNNNNNNNNCGUGUAGGCUACAACUGGUACCUACAUUAUGAGAUAAUAUAGCACAUAGACAUAUAUAUGGAUCAGUACUUUUGAAAUGUACUAAGUAAGUGGGGGUGCAUUCAAUAAGUAAAACUAAAUAGAUAUAAAAUCUUAAAACAUGCAUGCUAAGUGCAAAUAGACUCACCAGAGAUAGAAAUCAACUAAAAUCUAAAGUAGCUUAAAAAUGAGUAACAAAUAUGAUCUGAUAACUGGUGAAUUACUAUACUUAGUUUUUUAAAGCUUUACUUUUGUAGAAUAAGUAGAAUUGAAGCUGGGAAGCGGUAAAAUAUGAAUAUUGUGUGUAAAUUUCAUGUAAAACUAAAAAUGUUGUAAAAUUGUAUUGAGGAUGAUGUUCGAAUACUGGGUUUGAAACUAUGUGGUGGAAACUAACAUAACUCAAGGAUCUAAAUAUACAAAUCUACUGAGCAUAAAUGAAUACGCAUACAAACCAAACAUAACAUGUACUAAGAGAAUCUAAUUAACAGAAUGAUUGAUGCCUGAGUGACUGAACGACUGGAAUUUAGUAAAUGGAUAACUAAUGUCUGUAUACUAAGUAGCUAAUAUAUGAAAAUCAACUAACUAAUAGCUGAAUACUGAAUAACUGAUAACUGAAUACUGUGUAACUGACAUCUGGAUACUGGUUUACUGAUAUCUAAAUACUAAUUAGUUGGUAUCUCUAUACUGAUUAUCUGAUAACUGUAUACUGGUUAACUGAUAUCUAAAUACUAAUCAUGUAAAACUGAAUUGUACUUAGGAUGAAUAACUGGACUGAAACUGUGGGAGGUAUCAUGUAACCGACAUGCCCUAAUCUGAGUUAAUCGAGGUCUAACCUGUAACCCCAGUUGGAACGGUGUCAGUACCCUACCACGGGUACUAACAUUGGUUGUAUGGAUCCACUAAUUUGUUGUCUCGGAGGACCAGGGUAUCAAACCUAAACUGACGGGUAACCUCUGAGAAGAAGUCAAGCCUGAACUGAUGGGUGACCUCUCGUAUCCUAUGCUGGCCACGUAGUUCUGGAAUAUAGGGACUGCUACUAAUGACUGCCUAAACUGAUGGGGGAUCCUCCAUCCCUGCAUUCACACAGUGCUAAAUCUUACUCUCAACUGAACUGACACUGGUAUUGAACUAAACUAAGUUAAACUGAAUAUAACAACUAAUAUUGCUCAUCAUGAUCGUAACAACUUAGUAAAUGAUAACAUUCAUGGUUUAACUGAAUCAUUACUUGAGAAUCUAAAAUCAUGUAAAAUAUAUAGGAAUCGGGUGUUCAUAACCCACAAGCAUUGAAUGAUCAUAAAAUAUGAUAACAAACUUGAAUUACUAUAAUAUGUGAUCAUGGUUCAAAGACCCAAAAUAUGGGCAUUUUAUCAAACAUGUGAAAUCAUAAACUCAAACGUGGGAAUGCCUUAAACAUGAGGAAACGACAUGGUUUCAUGGCUAAAUUCAUAAUUUGGGGAUUAAUCCUAAAAUCAAUUGAUCAUGACAUCGGAAUUGCAACACUUAAAAAAUAAUAUGACUCAUUCCACUUGAAAACACUUGUAAAAAUAACUUGUAAUUGAAUUAACAAGAGAUUCAAGGAGUUAUUUUAUAUUAAACAUAUAUAAACUCAUAUUUUAAAUCAAAAGAGAGUUUUUAGGCUCCUUGGGUGAAAGGAAUCCAUGGAUAAACAUCCCGCAUACCUUGAUUGAUGAAUUCUUGAAGAAAUCUUGCAAUUGAAGCUUGAAUCCUUGUGUUCUUGAGAGAAAAAGCUUGAAUUAUUAUUCUUGAGAAAGGGGAGGGUUUUUAUGUGUGAAAUUUUAAGGAAUAUGGGCAAAUAAUGCCCUUUUUAGUGUUAUAAAUCGUGCCUUGGAUGUUUGGGCUUGUGGGGAAAGAACCAAAGUACCCUUUGACCCUUAAGAAGCUGAAACUGUUAGGGAAUAAGCUCCGUGCCACAUCCCUUAUUCUGGGGGAGAGAGCUUUGCGUUGCACCCCUUAUUCCGGGGGAGAGACCGGCGUGCCACGGCCAUAUCGUGGACCCUUACUACUUCUUACGAAAAUGGACAUAACUUUUUGCUUGGGUAUCGAAUUAAGGCGAAAUUGGUAUAGUUGGAAAGCUAACUCAAUAAUCUAUUAUUUGAUGGGUCUUUAGCUAAAAAAUUUCACAUAUAUAAAAAUUUAUACAUGUUCAAAGUCAACCCUUGUAGAAUCGAAUGUCAAAAUUUGACUGAAUCAAAGACUCUUUGUUCAACUUUUCUCUAAGUGAUUUCUAUGAAUAUUUUUCACUUCAUAAGCACUUGACACAGUAAGAUAAAGAUCAUUACACAAGUAUUCAAAUAUCAAUCAUGGGAUUAGAGUUUACAGGCGUAGGAACGAUGGUUCAAAGUCUAGCUCGAAAAUGCGGGGUGUUACAUGAUGUAUGAGAGAAGAGAUGAAGGGCUUAUUUGGUCCCAUUGGGUGUGCCAGUUUAUUUUCAAUAAAUUUUAUGGUGACAGAAAAAAUUGCAAUCACAAAUAAAAUCAUGAAGAAACAAGAUUUUUUAUUGAUAAUGAUGUGGUUACAAAUCUGUUCUUUCCUUGAUUCUUUUCUCUUAAUUUUCUCCAUAAUUCAAGGGUCGUUAGUAGUGUAUUUCUUGAAAAUAGGAUGAUCUCUUUAUGAAUAUUCCAUGAUUUUAUGUUAUAUUGGAGAUGCCUCUUUAAGGGAAUAUUUUUCCUCUAAGUAGGCGUAUUUGGGGUUUAGAGUAGAGUAGAGUAGCCACCAAGCUAGGUUUAGGGUAAAGUAGCAAAUUCUAACAGAAAUUGAACUCUUGUAGAGUCCAUAAACCCCUUACUUCAAGGCUUAUCAGAGUGUACUUGAUGAAACUCAAAGACGAGUCUUGAAGUACCCAUAGAGCUUCCAUCUUUACGUUUUGCGGCUGCAAAUUUGCAUAUAUGAUUUAUGAGAAAAGAGAUGAAGGAGAGAUUUGGUCCCACUUGGCGUGCCAAUUUAUUUUCAACAAAUUUUAUGGUGACAAAAAUAAAUUGCAAUCACAAAUAAAAUCAUAAAGAAACAAGAAUUUUUAUUGAUAAACAAUAUAGGUACUCUCUUUAUUUUCUCCGUAAUUCGAGGACUGUCAGUAGCGUAUUUCUCGAACGUAGAAUUAUUUGAAUUUGCUAGUAAUUUUCUCUAUAACUCGAGAGCUGUUAGUGGCAUAUUUCUCGAAUGUAGAAAUAUUUGAGUUUGAUUUCCAUGAAAGGAAGAUUUGUGAAUCUUCUUAAUGUAUUUGAUUAUCAACAAGAGAGUAUUUUGAUCCCUUUGUGAUAUUCUAUAAAUUUAUGAAACUGUCUAGAGAUAUUCGAGAUUUAUGAAUAUCUCCUGAAUUGUGGAAUAUUCGGGAUGCCUUUUUAAGGGAAUAUUUGUCCCUUAAAUAGGCAUGAUUUAGGGUUUGGAUAGAGAAGCCUCCAAACUAAAUUUAGGAUAAAGUAGUCUCCAAAAACUCUAAUAGAAUCUGAAUUCGUUUUGUGAUGUCUCACAAAAUUUUGAUGUCUACAUUAGCAUAUAAGUUCUGCAAUGUAAUUUUUAUUAACAUUUGUUCCGAGAAGUGGUAUCUUUGAAAAUACUCUCUAACUCAUGACUAUGGUACAAUGGUAGUACAUUUUAUUUUCUCGCAACAUCUACUAUGACAAAAAGAUAAGAACAAAUAUUUUGAAUUGCGCUAACCAAUUUUUUUUGAUUUUUUGGACUGAAUAUUUGCCAAGUUAAAUGUAUGUCUAUUCACAAUUUUUAAAUUUAAAAAACUCAAUCCUAAAAUUUUAAAUUUCAUUCCAAAAUCUAUAAUCAAACGGGAGCUUAAUAGUAUGCGGGUUUAGGUGUGAAUCUGUAGAGAUACUUUAGUGAUAUUGACGCCUAUUUACCACUUUUAGAAAUUAGAAAAGCAAUAAACCCGACAAGAUCAAAUUCCACCUCUAAAGAUCAUAUUACACUUACAAGUACUAUAUCAACUGUAUUUGAAGUUUUGAACAGGUAGAUAAUUCAAAUAAUUUUUUCUGUGGUCAAAAACAUCUUAAAACCGUGAAUAAGUUGAAGAUGGGGUGAUGAGUUGGAAUUCUUUAAGGCGGGUAAGUGGUUCAACAAACAAUUGAACUUGAAUAAUUAAUGUCAUACGCAUUGAUCCUUCAGUCCUCAAAGUCGAGCUAAAGUCUAAAAGAGUGAAAGGUGUUACUAUUAAUAGUUGGCUAUACUUGCUCUUUCAAUAAUUGUACUCCCUUCCUGUGUCUUUCCUAGUAUGUUGAUUUGACAUGUCUCUAAAAAAAAUUAUAAAGAGAGAAGUAUCAAUUACUAUCUAAAAUUGUCACGUUUUAUUUAUGGUAUAUCUGAACUUUAAGUCAUCUUAAGUACCCUUCUGAAUUUGUUGUUUUAGUACGUCGCAUGACCUUUUUAGCCUACAUGGCAAAAUAUGUGAUUUCAAACUCCAUCACGCGCAUGGAGUUAAUUUUCUACCAAAUCAGCAAUAAAAAACAAAAAAAUCCCAUUUUUCUUUAAUUUUUUCAAGAACUUCCUCCUCUCUCUUCUCUUUCUAUUUAUUAUCCCUCUUCCUCCAUCACUUUCAAAAUGUGUAAAAAAAAAAUUAUUUCAAUUACUUCUAUUUUACCUACUUAAAUUUGGGGUGUACAUCAAUCGGUUCGGUUCGAUUUUUAUAUUAUUGGUUCAGCUUAUCGAUUUUUUAUUUUUAAAUACGCUAAAUCAAUAACCAGACCAAUAAGAUAUUUUUUUAUCGAUUUUUGAUUUAUCGAUUUUUUGUACUUAACGAUUUGAUUUUCGAUUUAACUGAUAACAAAAUACUUAGAAAAUAAAAAAAACAGUAACGAACAUGAAAAGAAACUGAAUCUUAGUUGCAACUAAAAUCCUAAUUAUAUAUUUAUAUAUAUGGGGUGUAAAAUAAUAAUUUAGUAUAAUCUUAUUGGAUUAUUGGUUUACACAAUAACCCAAUUAAAAAAAUUAAAAUAACCCAAUAAUUUUUUUUAAAAAAAUCAUUAACCCAAUAACGAUAAAUCAAUAACAUUUUUAUCAGUUCGAUUUUUGUACAUCCCUAACUUAACUUGCGAUUUCUUACUUCAUUAAUUAUAAUAGGAAUCGUAUUUGUGCAUGUGAGUCUCCUCAAAAUCCUAAUCGAAACAUCAAUCGAAAAUUAUUAUGAAAUACUAAUCGAAAAAAAAUUCCAUAUUUUUAACACAAAAAAAACAUAAUUUUCUUAGAUAAUAACUUACUUGAUCAACAAAAAUUCAACCUUUCACUAUUUUGGAGCAAAGGAAACUCAAAAAUACAAUUUUUUUAGAGUGAAAUCAAAUAAUUAAGGGUAGAAGUAGGUUAUUUUUUGAUAUAGGAUAAAUAUGAGGGAAGUGAAUGGUAUUUAUCCACAUGGACAGACACAUAAGUAGCUUUUUCCACGUGUACGCGUGUGUUUUGCUCGUUGUGGUCCCUGGGCCAAAAAGGAUCACGCGACGUGUUGGUGCAUUUUAAUAUUAAAAUUAAAUUGCAUGAUAAUUGAUAGACAUAAAGUGAAGAAAAUGGAGUCACUAUUUUGACAACUUGUGUAGACGUACUAAAACAACAAGUUCGGGAAGGUACUUAAGACGACUCAAAGUUCAGGUGUACCAUGAAUAAAACGAGACAACUUCAGGAGAUAACUGAUACUUCUCUCAAUUAUAAAUACUCCUUCCAUCCCAAAUUUCCUAAUUUGAUUUUUUUAUUUUAUUUGUCUUUUUUCAUUAAUCAAGACAAGACAAAAAUUUUUUUCUAUGUUUUACCUUUUGCAUUAAUUACUUUUUCUUCAAAUUAAAAUGUAAACAUCAUUUGAUAGGGGUACUAUGGUAAACUAGGUAUGUUAUUAAUUAUUUUUCUUAAUAAAUGUGUCAUCUCAAUUUGAGACGGGUAAUUUAAGACGGAGGGAGUAAAAGGGUAGUUCACAACUCUUAUUAAUUACUCCCUCUGUUCACUUUUACCUCUUUAUUAUUUUCAAAAAUAGAUUUUCACUUUUACUAAUUGCAUUUAAUAUAUCAAAAAAAGAUAAUUUUUUUUUUCAAGAUUUAAAGCUAACAUUAAUUAGUUACUCAAGUCAUUUUUCAAUACCUAAUAUUAAAUAUCAGUUAAUAAGGAUAGUGUUGUAAAAUAAUUGUGACAAGUGAAAAUGAAUGGAGGAAGUAAAAGUCAUUUAAAUGUUGGAAAUUGAAUAGUAUUUAAUAGCAAUGAUAAAAUGGACAUAAUAUUGUAAAUUAUCUCUUAUUUUUUCGGACUAAAUAAUCAAAGUUGGACAACUAUUUUUAGUAUAUUGAAAAAGUAAAAAUGAAUGGAUGAAGUAAUAUAUAACAUUCACCAGAAUUAUAUUCCAUGAGUGAUGAAACUGUUUCACUUGAGAUAAAAAAGAGAACACUUGGUUUACAUUUCAAUAAAAUCACACUUCACCUACAAAUUAGAUUACUGAAUUUUGUGAAUUACAUAGCACACAGCCAAACUUUUGAAAAUUUUAAAAGAGCACAUUAUGAAGUGCUGCAGACAACUUAUUUAUAGCCAAAAAUAUUAGUAACAAACAAAAAGAGGGUACAAUGAACAUAUUAUUCUGAUCCAGAUAUGUAUGUUAUGUCUGUGAAUCCAUAGCCAGAAUUGUACUGAGAUUCAUUGGUGUCAUGUACUGUGACGAGCCGGUCAAGAUUUGUUGCGCAAUUAUCUUAUUUGCCUUCUCAGAUGGGUGGAACGGAUCCCAAAAUGCGUAAACAUCUCUAUUCGGGCACAAGUUAGACAGUGGUGUACAUAGGCCAAGACCAUUGUAUGGCCCUUGCCCACAACAUGCAACCUUUGAUGUUAUAAAUCCUGCCAAGAACAUAAUAAAGGUCUAUUAUAACAACAAGAGUAGGUUGCUUGGAGAGUAAGAAAAGGUCAUUUUAUGACAGGACAUGUCACAUUUAAACUCAAAGCAUAGAUUGAUUUUACGAAAUUAAACUGCUUACCAUAUCUUUGUGGAUCAGUGAUGAAACUUAUGGCCAUUUGUCUUGUAUUUGCAGCAAUGAAAACAUUGCCGCCCAGUUCACUGUUAAGCCCCUGCAACAUUUGUGUAAGUUGUGGGUUGAACAAGGCUGCAGCUUGUUGCAAGUCGGCUGCACAUUCCCCGUUCCUGCUACGUUGGGCA
rnacentral:lncRNA from 1 species